rnacentral:pre_miRNA from 1 species
CCCCGUCUCCCAACCCUUGUACCAGUGCUGAACCUCAGACCCUGGUACAGGCUUGGGGGGCAGGG